rnacentral:rRNA from 1 species
UAUCUCUGUAGAGUCUGCAUAUCAAUAAGCGGAGGAAAAGAAACUAACAAGGAUUCCCUUAGUAACGGCGAGUGAAGCGGGAAGAGCUCAAAUUUGAAAUCUUCAAGGUUUUACCUUGACGAAUUGUAGUUUAAAGAAGUGUUUUCUGUUGAAGUUUUGGUAAAAGUUCUUUGGAAUAGGACAUCAUAGAGGGUGAGAAUCCCGUAUUUGACCAUUAUUUUCAGCUGUGUGAUACACUUUCAAAGAGUCGGAUUGUUUGGGAAUGCAGUCCAAAAUGGGUGGUAAAUUUCAUCUAAAGCUAAAUAUUGGCGAGAGACCGAUAGCGAACAAGUACCGUGAGGGAAAGAUGAAAAGAACUUUGAAAAGAGAGUUAAACAGUACGUGAAAUUGUCAAAAGGGAAGCGUUUGACACCAGUGUUGUUUUCUCGAAAAUCAAUUAAAAAAGGAUUGGAUUUUGUGUUGUAUUGACCUUUAUCAAGCUUUCUUCACUCUUUUCUUGUCUUUUUUAAUGCACUUUUCGUUUAACAAGUCAACAUCAGUUUCUUUUGUUGUAAAAGGGUCAUUGGAAGGUGGCUUUCUUUUCGGAGAAAGUGUUUAUAGCCUUUGCUCUCUGCAAUCGGAGAGAUUGAGGUCUGCAGCGUAGACUCCUUCGGGGUUAGAUACAUUUGUGCUAAGUUAUAGCCUUUCAUAGACAACUUGUUGACUAUGAUCAGUCAUGUAGCUUACUCGCUUAUGCUAUUUUACCUACGCUUAGGAUGUUGAGUAGCGACAUACGCAC